rnacentral:rRNA from 1 species
CCUACGGGUGGCAGCAGUGGGGGAUAUUGCACAAUGGGGGAAACCCUGAUGCAGCGACGCCGCGUGUGGGAAGACGGUCCUCUGGAUUGUAAACCACUGUCCCCAGGGACGAAGAUGACGGUACCGGGGGAGGAAGCACCGGCUAACUACGUGCCAGCAGCCGCGGGAAUACGGAGGGAGCGAGCGUUGUCCGGAAUUACUGGGGGUAAAGGGAGCGUAGGCGGGACUGCAAGUUGGGUGUCAAAUCUACCGGCUCAACCGGUAGCCGCACUCCAAACUGCAGUUCUUGAGUGAAGUAGAGGCAGGCGGAAUUCCUCGUGUAGCGGUGAAAUGCUUAGAUAUUAGGAGGAACACCAGUGGCGAAGGCGGCCUGCUGGGCUUUUACUGACGCUGAUGCUCGAAAGUGUGGGGAGCAAACAGGAUUAGAUACCCCUGUAGUC